UAGCACAGAGAGCUUGCUCUCGGGUGACGAGUGGCGGACGGGUGAGUAAUGUCUGGGAAACUGCCUGAUGGAGGGGGAUAACUACUGGAAACGGUAGCUAAUACCGCAUAACGUCGCAAGACCAAAGAGGGGGACCUUCGGGCCUCUUGCCAUCAGAUGUGCCCAGAUGGGAUUAGCUAGUAGGUGGGGUAACGGCUCACCUAGGCGACGAUCCCUAGCUGGU
rnacentral:rRNA from 1 species